UCGCUACUACCGAUUGAAUGGCUCAGUGAGGCCUUCGGACUGGCUCAGGGAGGUCGGCAACGACCACCCAGAGCCGGAAAGUUGGUCAAACUUGGUCAUUUAGAGGAAGUAAAAGUCGUAACAAGGUUUCCGUAGGUGAACCUGCGGAAGGAUCAUUAAAAGAAACACUCUUUGGCUCAAAAACCCAAAGUUUUAAACCCACUGUGAACCAAAAACCUUUUUAGCUUCGGCAGCUCUUGCUCGAGCUAACCCCUCUUGCAAACAUCAGCCUGCCGACAGCGCCAAACCAAACUUUUUGUUACAAAAAACUCUUGUCUGACCUUGAAUUUUCGAAUGAAAAUUAAAACUUUCAACAACGGAUCUCUUGGUUCUCGCAUCGAUGAAGAACGCAGCGAAACGCGAUAGUUAAUGUGAAUUGCAGAAUUCAGUGAAUCAUCGAGUCUUUGAACGCACAUUGCGCCCCUUGGUAUUCCGAAGGGCAUGUCUGUUUGAGCGUCAUUACACACCCUCGCCUGAUAAUUUUGUUACCAAGCGGUCUUGAGGCCUUGGUCAGGAUCCUACCCCUCCCCAGGGGCAAGGGCCACCAGCCUUUCAAUAGUGAAUGCUCUGUCAACCGUCAUCUGAAAACUUUACGUAGUAAUAACUUACAACCGUUCGGUGGAAAGGUGCGGAGUGACCUGUCAAAAACGUCUUAACGACCUCUCUAGGUUUGACCUCAGAUCAGACAAGGAUACCCGCUGAACUUAAGCAUAUCAAUAAGCGGAGGAAAAGAAACCAACAGGGAUUGCCUCAGUAACGGCGAGUGAAGCGGCAACAGCUCAAAUUUGAAAUCUUAAGCUUUUAGUUUACGAGUUGUAAUUUGAAGAGGAUGUUUCGGUUGUGACCGUGGCCUAAGUUCCUUGGAACAGGACGUCGUAGAGGGUGAGAAUCCCGUACACGGCUAACGGUUUACUUCCAUGUGUAACUCCUUCGAAGAGUCGAGUUGUUUGGGAAUGCAGCUCAAAAUGGGUGGUAAAUUUCAUCUAAAGCUAAAUACUGGCGAGAGACCGAUAGCGCACAAGUAGAGUGAUCGAAAGAUGAAAAGCACUUUGAAAAGAGAGUUAAACAGUACGUGAAAUUGUUGAAAGGGAAGCGUUUGCAAUCAGACUUGCUUUCGGUUGAUCAACGUUCCUUCUGGUUCGUGCACUCUGCCGUUCGCAGGCCAGCAUCGGUUAGGGCGGUGGGACAAAGACUCUGAGAAUGUGGCUCUCUUCGGGGAGUGUUAUAGCUCAGUGUGUAAUGCCACCAGCCCUGAUCGAGGUCCGCGCUUUUGCUAGGAUGCUGGCAUAAUGGUUGUAAACGACCCGUCUUGAAACACGGACCAAGGAGUCUAACAUCUAUGCGAGUGUUUGGGUGUCAAACCCAUACGCGAAAUGAAAGUGAACGGAGGUGGGAGUCUUCGGAUGCACCAUCGACCGAUCCUGAUGUCUUCGGAUGGAUUUGAGUAAGAGCAUAGCUGUUGGGACCCGAAAGAUGGUGAACUAUGCCUGAAUAGGGUGAAGCCAGAGGAAACUCUGGUGGAGGCUCGCAGCGGUUCUGACGUGCAAAUCGAUCGUCAAAUUUGGGUAUAGGGGCGAAAGACUAAUCGAAC
rnacentral:rRNA from 1 species